rnacentral:rRNA from 1 species
UAGUCCACGCCGUAAACGUUGGGCGCUAGAUGUGGGGCUCAUUCCACGAGUUCCGUGUCGCAGCUAACGCAUUAAGCGCCCCGCCUGGGGAGUACGGCCGCAAGGCUAAAACUCAAAGGAAUUGACGGGGGCCCGCACAAGCGGCGGAGCAUGUUGCUUAAUUCGAUGCAACGCGAAGAACCUUACCUAGGCUUGACAUGCACGGAAAUCCCGCAGAGAUGUGGGGUGCCUUUGGCGUCGUGCAC